rnacentral:tRNA from 1 species
GCGGAAUCAACGCUCAUUGACACGUGCAGUAGGUACUGUACUUUCAACAAAGAAUUGUUAUUUUCAUGAAUUCUGUAUUUUGGAAAUUCGAAUACGUGCCAUGAAUAUUUUUAAAAUUCGGUUUACUCCUUGCAGCUAAUUGUAGCAGUAGUUUCUGUGGUGUAGUGGUUAUCACGUUUGCUUCACACGCGAAAGGUCCCUGGUUCGAAACCGGGCGGAAACAACGCUCAUUGACACAUUCUGUAGUACCAUAGUGGUAACAGAAAAUUUCAUGAAUUCUUUAUUUUGGAAAUUCGAAUACGUGCCAUGAAUAUUUUUAAAAUUCGGUUUACUCCUUGCAGAAAAAUCAAGCAGCAGUUUCUGUAGUGUAGUGGUUAUCACGUUUGUUCACACGCGAAAGGUCCCUGGUUCGAAACCAGGCGGAAACAACGCUCAUCGACACAUUCAAGAAGUACCAUAGUGUUAACAAAGAAUUUCAUUAUUCUCUUAUUUUGGAAAUUCGAAUACGUGCCAUGAAUAUUUUUAAAAUUCGGUUUACUCCUUGCAGCUAAUUGUAGCAGUAGUUUCUGUGGUGUAGUGGUUAUCACGUUCGCUUCACACGCGAAAGGUCCUCGGUUCGAAACCUGGCGGAAACAGAGCUCUUUGACACGUGCAGUAGGUACUGUACUUUCAACAAAGAAUUAUUAUUUUCAUAAAUUCUGUAUUUUGGAAAUUCGAAUACGUGCCAUGAAUAUCUGUAAAAUUCGGUUUAUUCUUUGCAGCUAAAUGUAGCAGCAGAUUCUGUAGUGUAGUGGUUAUCACAUUCGCUUUACACACGAAAGGUCUUCGGUUUGAAACCGGGAGGAAACAGUGCUCUUUGACACAUGCAGUAGGUACUGUACUUUAAACAGAGAAUAGUUAUUUUCAUAAAUGCAUUAUUUUGGAAAUUCGAAUACGU